rnacentral:rRNA from 1 species
GUCCACGCCCUAAACGAUGUCUACUAGUUGUUGGUGGAGUAAAAUCCAUGAGUAACGCAGCUAACGCGUGAAGUAGACCGCCUGGGGAGUACGGUCGCAAGAUUAAAACUCAAAAUGAAUUGACGGGGGCCCGCACAAGCGGUGGAUUAUGUGGAUUAAUUCGAUGCAAUGCGAAAAACCUUACCUGGCCUUGACAUGUAACGAACUUUCCAGAGAUGGAUUGGUGCUCGAAAGAGAGCGUUAAACACAGGUGCUGCAUGGCUGUCGU